GUGCUUGCUUUGGGGGCACAUAUACUAAAACUGGAAAAAUACAAAGAUUAGCAUGGCCCCUGUACAAGGAUGACAUGCAAAUCUGUUAAAGCGUUCCAAGAAUGU
ensembl:snRNA U6 U6 spliceosomal RNA